rnacentral:rRNA from 1 species
UGGGGAAUAUUGCACAAUGGGCGCAAGCCUGAUGCAGCCAUGCCGCGUGUGUGAAGAAGGCCUUCGGGUUGUAAAGCACUUUCAGCGGGGAGGAAGGCGUUAAGGUUAAUAACCUUGGCAAUUGACGUUACCGACAGAAGAAGCACCGGCUAACUCCGUGCCAGCAGCCGCGGUAAUACGGAGGGUGCAAGCGUUAAUCGGAAUUACUGGGCGUAAAGCGCACGCAGGCGGUUGAUUGAGUCAGAUGUGAAAUCCCCGGGCUUAACCCGGGAAUUGCAUCUGAUACUGGUCAGCUAGAGUCUUGUAGAGGGGGGUAGAAUUCCAUGUGUAGCGGUGAAAUGCGUAGAGAUGUGGAGGAAUACCGGUGGCGAAGGCGGCCCCCUGGACGAAGACUGACGCUCAGGUGCGAAAGCGUGGGGAGCAAACAGG